AAGCAUCUCACCCCAGAUGUCAUUCCCAUUAAUUUCCCAAAAUUACCAUGAGUACUGAACCUAGAGGAGUUAAGCUUAAUUGUCUUUGUUCUUCAUUCCCAUGAUCUAUUCUUUCUUCUCUUCCUGCUCACACACUGGGUUGAUGUUCUCCAGGUGAAGCCAUUGCAACCACAGGGCUCUCUGAACUGGGCUGUCAGCACGACGGAGCUGCAGAUGCUAAAAUAUCUCUACUGCAUAUUUUCAGCUGUCCACACAAAUACCUUCUCAUGUCUGUGGGGGAAGGAGAAAAGGGAGGAGAGGAAAGGAAGGAAGACAGGGAAGAGGACUGUCUCCAGCUUUCAUCUCAAAAUGGAGAUAGGACACAGCCUUGGAAUGCACCUUGAAUUUGCAGAACUUGUUGAAACAGAACUCUUCAGGAGUCUUUUUCUCUACAAAGAGCUAACAAUGGACCUCCCUUCAAUCAAUAUGGAGAUGAACAAACAAACCAAUAUUUAGAUGUGUAAGGCUUCCACUGCUGUAAUAUGUAAGCAUGAAUUAAAAGGUUUGGAAAAUUGCACCUUCAUAUCUCCAAAGUGACCAUCAUUUUCAAUUAGGAUAAUAAUCUAUUAUAAUAAAUUAUUAAAUAUUCUUUAAAGAAAACUAAGU
rnacentral:lncRNA from 1 species